GGAGAAAUGGCAGAGCGGUUGAAUGCGGCGGUCUUGAAAACCGUUGUACCGAAAGGUACCGGGGGUUCGAAUCCCUCUUUCUCCGCUA
rnacentral:tRNA from 1 species